rnacentral:lncRNA from 1 species
CUUUCAAACUGAAAGAAUUUAUAAUCUAAUUUAUUAAUAUUCUCUGGAAAAGACAAAGAUACAACAGUAUGCCUGUUUAGAAAGUAUUUCAUAACUCACUCAGGGGAAAAACCUUACCUCAUUUCGGGAAAAAAUUGGGAUUUUGCCCUGUCCUUAUGUGCUAUUUUCCGUAGUAUUUUUCCAGUAGUACUUCUCCAAAUCAAGCUAGGGACAGUUCAGCUUCAAGUUUUAUUGACAUUUUUUGUGGGCAUGAAAUGCUUUUUUUAAUACCUUACUUUAACUCAUUUUGUGUAUUUCUAUGGGAUUCCUAUUUCUUUUCUGAAGAAAGGAGAAAAAGUCAUUAACUUAGAGAAGUUCAGACUUUUCAGAAGGUCAUGAAUCUGACAAGCCAGAAGCAAUGGAUCCUUCUCCAUCUGCCUUUUAUUUCCAGCACAUUUAUACAACCUUCAAGUCUUUGUUUUUCAAAUCUCAGGGAGAGCUACCCAUCCUGGAGUCAAUUGAUGGUUAUCAGGAAGGUGUUUUCAGCUAUUUUCAAAAUACCUUGCAUCUAUGGAACGUGUGUAUAUUUUUGGGUAAUGGCUACUGGACAUCUCCUUGCUUCCUGGUUAUGCCAGGAGUGCCUUUUUCCCUUCAGUACGAUUCCUUCAAACAUUUUGAUGCUUAGGAAGCUAAAUGAGAGAUGGAUUCCUGGGUCAAAGGCAUAUGAGCGUGUUUCCUCACUGGAGAAGCUGUUCAGGAAGGGCUGCAGGGUUCCAGGAUCACCCUCCCUCUUCAUCCAGGCCAACUCAUCUCACGAAGUAGACUUGUCUCUCAACUAAACUUAGUAGCUAUGAGACUUCUGUAAUGAAUUACUGGCAUAUCAUUGCCAUUCUUUCCAGGAUGAAUCACAGAGGCAAAUUGGAAUCUUUUGCCUUUUAAUUAUACGUACUUCCAAUUAUUUACGAAGUCCUAUUUUAUCUCAUAUUUUUCUCAUCAUUAAUUUUUUUUGAUGUACUGAUGCCCUAGGUCAGGUUCUCAUAAUCUCAAGCCGAGUGUCUUCAGUGAGUUCUACUUAUUUCUUAUCCAGUUUGUUCUGCAGAUUUCUCUCAACCCAGACUCUUCACCAGAUUCAUGUCUCUUGGCAGCAUACCCUACCCUGGGCCCAAACAUUAAACUCACUACUCAAUCUCUAUUAUUGUUAUUACAUGGGACUAUAGAAAAAAUUGCCAAAGUUUUCACAAAACACUAGACCUUUUGUGUAAAUCUUUUUGAGAAAACAACUUGCUUUGAUUGAAGGAGGGAAGGCAUGCUUCCAAGGAAUGGAAGGCAUGGAAUAACUAGUUUCGAAAUUUAUAUGUUGGAUGUGGAAAUCACGGGAUGAGUGAAGGAAAGGAGGUAUUUAUUUGGAUAGAAAAUUCACUUUACAAGUUCUAAAUAAUUGAGUUUAAGAUGGUUUAAAGGAGGCUUUGGCUUUCAUCACCUGAAAGUUCUCCAUGAAACCAUUGCCUUUAAUGUGUCUGAUACCAAGAAAUAUUGAAUACACUGGCACUGAAAACGGCACACUUCCUGAGACGUUGUUGCCAUUAGUAUCACCUCUUUUUUUUUUCUUUUUGUCUUUUCUGAGGCCGCACCCGCGGCAAGUGGAAAUUCCCAGGCUAAGAGUCCAAUUGGAACUGUAGCCGCUGGCCUAUGCCACAACCACAGAAAUGCCAGAUUUGAGCCACGUCUAUGACCUACACCACAGCUCACAGCAACGCCGGAUCCUUAACCCACUGAGCAAGGCUAGGGAUCGAACCCGCAACCUCAUGGUUCCUAGUCGGAUUCGUUAACCACUGAGCCAUGACGGGAACUCCUAGUAUCACAUCUUAUGAUUAGAAAAUUUUAAAUGUUUCUUCAUUCAGAUAUUCUUCAUUCAUCAAAAUAUUUAAUGCAUGUUUAUUUCAUAUCAAGCACAGAGCAAGUAGGUGAUAAAAUCAAAGUUUGUAUCCGAUCUUCAACAUAACAAAUGCUGGAGAGGGUAUGGAGAAAAGGGAACCCUCCUACACUGUUGGGAAUGUAAAUUUGUACAACCGCUAUGGAUAAAAGUGUGGAGGUACCUCAGAAAAUUAAAUAUAGAACUACCACAUGACCCAGCAAUCCCACUCUUGGGCAUAUAUCCAGACAAAACUCUCCUUGAAAAAGAUACAUGCACCCAAAUGUUCAUUGUAGUACUAUUCACAAUAGCCAAGACAGGGAAACAACGUACAUGGACAGAUGAAUGGAUUAAGAAGAUGUGGCACAUAUAAACAAUGGAAUACUACUCAGCUAUAAAAAAGAACAAAAUAAUAUCAUUUGCAGCAACAUGGAUGGAACUAGAGAUUCUAAUAUUAAGUGAAGUCAGUAAGAAAGAGAAAUACAAAUACCCUAUGAUGUCACUUAUCUGGAAUUUAAUAUGUGGCAAAAGUGAACAGGAAAGAAACUCAUGGACUUGGAGAACAGACUUGUGGUUGCCAAGGGGAAGGGAGAGGGAGUGGGAUGGACUGGGGGUCUGGGGUUAAUAGAUGCAAACUAUUGCAUUUGGAGUAGAUAAGUAAUGAGAUCCUGCCAUAUAGCACAGGGAACUCUAUUCAGCCACUUGUGAUGGAGCAUGAUGGAUGAUAAUAUGAGAAAAAGAAUAAAUAUAUAUAUGUAUAUGUAUGUAUGACUGUG